AGCAACACUCAGAAAACAGGAAGCGAGAGAGGCAAAGCCUUCAGAGACCAUGACUGCUGAGCUGGAAACCCAAGAGGCCCAGAAAGCCAGUGUGCAAUGCUCUGCCCUAAAGAUGGGGCUGUGUGAGAGUGAGGGUGUCGGUAUUCCUGGACGUCGGUGACAAGAGCGUCUGGAAGAUGUAACGUGAGUAUUUCCAUUGCAGGUGGCAUGGUAGGCAAGCAGGGCAUAUCCCUCUUCACUAGGGUGCCAUUUUCAGUUAAAAUGUGAAUCUGUUCAAUACGGAUAUGUCUGCAUAUCCGUACGUCUAUAGGUUCCAAGCCAGUGAAGCUCUGCUCUACAGUCAGGUAGCCCAGGCCAGUUCUGAGAGAUACAUCCAUCCACAGGUCUGUGGAGCUGAUGUCUGGCUUAGAAUAUCACAUCAAAACACUCUCCCUCAAGAGGAGUUUCUUUAUCUGCCCCAGUCUCCACUCUGUUCUCAGAUGCAAUCUGAGUAGCAGAGAAAGAUCUAGCAAAAAAGAAAAGGUCAGGAGACAUGGCAGACCAGGAGCCCUGGCUAUGGACUCUGCCAGCUAAUUGUUCGUGACUUUGAAACCCAACAGACGGCCAUUACUUUGCUCCGUUUUGACAUCAGUGAUUUCCAGGUGGUUGUAAGUCUCAACCUUGUUUUCAGUUACGUUAGGGGAAGGGCUGUUUCCUCUGGACUUCGGAAGAAUCAGACUGAGCAAAUUCCUGUGCCUCUUAUAUGAGCCACGCAAGCCACCACAGGUAUGAGGCCUCAGGAACGUGAAGUCGGGAUAGGAAGGAUAAGCUGCAGGGUCAGAUACAGUGUCCCUGGUCCAUGUAAAGGGCCUUGAGACAGCCACUAAUAGUCUCUGUGGCCCAGAUCCUGGGGAACCUCUUAUAUCAGCAUCCCCUUUGAUUUAUUGAUAUGUCUUGAUAUAAUAUCAGAGAGAGAGAGAGAGAGAGAGAUCAAGUGUGUUUGAAUGUGUGCGUGGUGCACAUGUGUACAGAGUGUAUGUGUGUAGUUCUAUGUAUCUCUAGUCCCUUGCACUCAGGAGAUGGAGGCAGGAGCAAGACCAUCCUCUGCUAUAUAGUGAGUUUGAAGUCAACUUGAAAUACAUGAGACUGUGUAAAAAAAUCCUAAUCAUACAAAACAAUAAAAAUCAAAGGGUGUGUUUACAGGAUGUGAGCUCUGUCAUAAUGUUAAGUGAUUCUUCUAAGUGCUACAACAGAGUUUGUUCACAGCCUGCAACAGGCAACCAAGAAGCUUUGAGGGCAUAGUCACCAAAGAAAAUAAAUUUUCAGAGUUAACUCAUUUCCUAAGGCCUUCCCCCUCUCCCUCCCCCUUGAGGAAACAA
rnacentral:lncRNA from 1 species